rnacentral:sRNA from 1 species
CCGGGUCAUAACGGCUUGUCCAUGAUGGAAAGCCAUUGAAUUCUCGCUGAUUUCAGGAGCUAUUUACUAUGCGUA